GACGUAGGGGGCCAGCGUUGUUCGGAAUUACUGGGUGUAAAGGGUUCGUAGGCGGUGUGGCAAGUCGGGAGUGAAAUUUCUGGGCUCAACCCAGAGUCUGCUUCCGAAACUGCUGUGCUUGAGUGUGGGAGAGGCGCGUGGAAUUGCAGGUGUAGCGGUGAAAUGCGUAGAUAUCUGGAGGAACACCGGUGGCGAAGGCGGCAUCCUGGACCGAAACUGACGCUGAGGAGCGAAAAGCAUGGGGAGCGAACAGG
rnacentral:rRNA from 1 species